rnacentral:rRNA from 1 species
GACGAACGCGGCGGCGUGCCUAAUACAUGCAAGUAGAACGCUGAAGGAAGGAGCUUGCUCUUUCAGGGAUGAGUUGCGAACGGGUGAGUAACGCGUAGGUAACCUGCCUGGUAGCGGGGGAUAACUAUUGGAAACGAUAGCUAAUACCGCAUAAGAGUAGAUAUCGCAUGAUAUCUACUUGAAAGGUGCAAUUGCACCACUACCAGAUGGACAUGCGUUGUAUUAGCUAGUUGGUGAGGUAACGUCUCACCAAGGCAACGAUACAUAGCCGACCUGAGAGGGUGAUCGGCCACACUGGGACUGAGACACGGCCCAGACUCCUACGGGAGGCAGCAGUAGGGAAUCUUCGGCAAUGGACGGAAGUCUGACCGAGCAACGCCGCGUGAGUGAAGAAGGUUUUCGGAUCGUAAAGCUCUGUUGUAAGAGAAGAACGAGUGUGAGAGUGGAAAGUUCACACUGUGACGGUAUCUUACCAGAAAGGGACGGCUAACUACGUGCCAGCAGCCGCGGUAAUACGUAGGUCCCGAGCGUUGUCCGGAUUUAUUGGGCGUAAAGCGAGCGCAGGCGGUUAGAUAAGUCUGAAGUUAAAGGCUGUGGCUUAACCAUAGUACGCUUUGGAAACUGUUUAACUUGAGUGCAAGAGGGGAGAGUGGAAUUCCAUGUGUAGCGGUGAAAUGCGUAGAUAUAUGGAGGAACACCGGUGGCGAAAGCGGCUCUCUGGCUUGUAACUGACGCUGAGGCUCGAAAGCGUGGGGAGCAAACAGG